AGAGAGAGAGAGAGAGAGAUCUUAUAUCACUAAACUAGAGUUGAACAGAACUAGUCAUAGCUUUCUUUGAUAUAGAUACAUUAGAAGAAUGAUAUAAAGGAGAAAGAAAAGUAGAGGCUUGAACCAGCUAAGUAUCACUGUAUCAGUAUUACAAGAUAUGUAAAUGGUAAACUAAAUUUCAACAGUUACCAUCAUGAUGACUUUAGCUAUUUUGAUUCCAUUAGAUUUCAAGUGAUUGGGUUUACUCUUGCACCAAAAAAAAAACACAGACAGAAUUAAGAAGAUGUGCAAGUUAACAGUGUAACUAAUAAAUAAUUCAGUAUGUUACACGUUUACAAAUUCAGCUUAAAAAUUCAGCAAGACAAGGAUUAGAUACAUGUCAUACAUUUAUAACUUCACCAUUUUGCAAUUUGAGUAUCCUAUCCUAAUUGCAUUUGGAGAUACAUUUCUAGUUAUUUUUCCCACCAUCUAAGGGUGUAAAUGCUCUGAAUAUCCCCUAGUAUACUUGACAUAAAAUGUUAAAACUAAUUGAUCAGGUUGUUCAAAGAAUUGCAAUGAAUAUGUGUGGUCAUAAAAUGGAAUACAUUCAUACAGUUAAAGGCAGAUCCAAGUAGGGACUAAGCAUAUGCUACUUCCUGUUCUCUUCUUUCAUAUGGUGGUGGGAGCAACCCCUUAGUAUUGGCAAAAAGAUCUUGACGACCAGCCGGUGCCUCUGUAAUUGGUGAAUCCAAAACGGUGUCGGGAAUCGCUACCAAAGUUUCCUUAAAAAAGGAUUUGAUUGUUGUGCAAUGCUGGAAAGCAGCAUCAGCUUUGCGCUUCCACAAACCAUUUCCAGGCUCAGAAUAGAAAAAACCAAGCAAAGGCUGCAGCAUGGUAGAAUACAUAGUGAUAAUAUGAUAUGAUGAAGAAGAAAAGAGAAAUAAGUCUUAUAGAUAUAAGACCUAGAUUAAUGAGCACUCACAUCCAAGCUCAAAAUGUAAAGAGUUCCAGCACAUGCACUAAAUCCAAUUCCAAAGACAUGCAAACAUUCAUGAUAUGAUAUGCGAUACAAUAAAAAUGAGUCCAACACAUGUAACCUUUCUGUUUGUCCAUAAUUAGGGACCUCACUCAACAAAGCAUUAAUCCAAAAUUCUCAUAAUUCAGGAAUGAGUUUAGUAAAUAAAACAAGAGUCAAGUUGAUGUCAUCUGGCUUGUUUAGCAGUUAGUUGAGUUUGUUCCAGAAUUUCAGCAUUAAUAGGACUUGGUGAGUUGUAAUUGGUCAUUGGAAAAAAAAAAUCUAAUUCAGAUAAUUCUGUCUACUUUCUCCCUUUCCUCAACAUAGAACAAUAACCAUAGAGCUAGGCUUCUGUUGUACAGUCCAAUAAGGCCAUAAAAAAAAUAGUAAUUACAAACCAUAGCAUAAUAAUGUUUUAAAAAAUAUGCAAAUUACCGAGUAAAGAAUGAUUAGGGAAAGAAGUUCAGUGAAGUUAAGCAAUCUAUUGUACCUUUAUUACAUCCCUGACAUUGGGUCUAUUAUUUCCAUAUGUUCCCAGAAUACCAUCCCCAUAUAUUUGAUACUGUUCAAGGACCUGACGACGUGUAAGACCGCUCCUUGGAGCGCCAUAAAUUUCAGAAUCAACAUGUCCCAGAACACUCCAAGGACUGUAAGAAGUAUAAAAUAGUACAAUUAAUUAAUUAUCAGCAACAGAAUGGACAGGGCUUGGUAAAAUGUAAGUAAAAGGCCUCCAAGGAAGGAAAGGUAGAAGGAGAUCCUCUUAUAUGGAUUGCAAUCCUUCAACAAUAAAUAAACAUUGAACACUGACUCAUUACAUAUCAUUUAAUGCCAUUAAUUUGGGUCAGUGUUGUGUUUCCCUUAGGGGCCUAAGGCUGCUUUUCGGUUGCAUUCAACCAUGGUCCAAACAAAGCACUCCAGUGAUAGGCCUCACAUAAAGCAUUUUUUUUUUUGGAAUAACUGCUCUCAGGUCUUGAACUUGAAACAUUUUGAUCACAGGUAUAAGGUUUUACCAUUGCAUUACACAAACAGGCCUAUAAUGUUUCUACAAAAAGCCCAGUUAUCCAAAUAAUAAGACAAUCAAUUUGAGUAAAUUACUGAUUUAACAACUAAAAAAAAAAAAAGUCAUGUCUCCCAUCUUAUGUAAAUUUGCUAUAUUACCAUCGACUCAUUGAGCAUAGCUUGGAAUAAAAAAUAUGCAUUAUACAUACUUAUUGUAGGCAGCACGCCCAACCAUUACACCAUGUGCUCCUUCCUUCAGUGCCGAAUUUACCUCAUCAAUACAAUUUAUGCCUCCAUUUAUUGUAAAUUUCAAAUUUGGAAAGUCACGCAAGAGGGCAAAGUAGUACUCAUAUUUUAUGGGAGGAAUUCUCCGGUUUUCAGCUGGACUGAUGCCAUUGAGCAGAGCUUUCCGUGAAUGUAUUAUAAAAUGCUCAGUUGGGGAUAGAGAAGAAACCUUAUAGAUAAAAUCACAUAGCUCAUUGUAUGAAUCAUGAUCAUCUACUCCAAUUCGGCAUUUAACACUAACAGGAACAUUUGUGUUGGCUGCAAUCACUGACAUAGCUUCACCAACAAACUUUCCUUGUAAACACCAAAUGAUAUAUGAGCCACAUUUGAAUAAGACAGAAAAUAUAAAAGCAUUUGACAAUCAGUAGAUGUUAUCAAACCUUUGGAUCAAGCAUAAGACGAACACCAAAGCAUCCAUGACCAGCUACUCUUGGACUAGGACAACCGCAACUGAUAAUUUAUAAGAAAAGGAAAAACUACCUGAAUUCAGCUGAAAGAAAAAAGAAAAGAAGCAAAAUAAUAUAUAAAGCGUGACAAAAAGAAUUCUUCUAACUUGAAGUUAAUCUCAUCAUAGCCAUAAGCAGUAGCAAGUUCAGUUGCUUUUGCCAGGUUGUCCAAAUUACUUCCACCAAUUUGCAGGACAAUGGGAUGUUGUUGAGGAGAAUAUGCCAAAAACCUGUCCAAAUUUCCCUGUUGAUAGACAAUUGUUUCAGCUGCAAGCAUCUCUGUAUAAAGCCAAGAAUGUUUUGAUAUGAGCCGGGCAAGGGUCCUAUAAUGAUUAUCCGUCCAGUCCAUCAUUGGAGCAACACUAAACAACGGAGGAAGAUAUUGCCCUGCACCCAUCCCAGCUUUUGCAUGCAGUUGACGCUUUUGAGUACAAAUAGACAGGCUUCUUGACUUAGUUGAAUUCUUGUAACAUAAAUUUAAUUGUAAUCUGUGAUGGUUUUUAAGAAUAAUAGAAGGAAAUGGAGUAAAUGAAGUAAUCAAAGAAUAUCCGGUAAACUUCACCAUCCCUCUAAUCAGACAAAGCCCGCUCCUUUAGGUACAUGGAGGAGGAUGGCGGCCGCGGAAAAUGUAGAAGGAGCUUCGCGGCUUCUUCAGGGAUGAGGCACCUGAGAAAGAGGAGAAUAACGGAGGGUGGAUUUAAUUAAUAGCCAAGCUAAAUGAAUCCUUCUGGGUUGGAACUUUUGAGUCUGUU
rnacentral:misc_RNA from 1 species